rnacentral:rRNA from 1 species
CCCGCUGAACUUAAGCAUAUCAAUAAGCGGAGGAAAAGAAACUAACAAGGAUUCCCCCAGUAACGGCGAGUGAAGAGGGAAAAGCUCAAUGUUAAAACCUGGUGGUAAAACACCCGGAUUGUAAACUAUGGAUCAUAAUUUCAGUGAAGCGGUGCGCGGGUAAAGUGCUUUGGAAAGAGCCAUCACAGAGGGUGAAAAUCCCGUCUACCCGCAGCUGUUUUACAUUUUGAAAAUUGCGUUCCGAGAGUCAGGUUGUUUGGGAAUGCAGCCUAAAUCGGGUGGUAGAUCACAUCCAAAGCUAAAUAUUGGCGAGAGACCGAUAGCGAACAAGUACCGUGAGGGAAAGAUGAAAAGCACUUUGGAAAGAGAGUUAAACAGUACGUGAAAUUGUUGAAAGGGAAACGUUUGAAGUCAGUCGCGUCGGCCGAGACUCAACCUUGCCAUUUCGGCUCGGUGCAUUUCUCGGUUGACGGGUCAGCAUCAAUUUCGGGCGUCGGAUAAAGGCUGAGGGAACGUGGCAUCCUUCGGGGUGUGUUAUAGCCCUCGGUUCGCAUACGACGAUCGGGAUUGAGGAACUCAGCACGCCUUCAUUGGUCGGGGCUUCGGCUCACGUUAACGUGCUUAGGAUGCUGGCGUAAUGGCUUUAAGCGACCCGUCUUGAAACACGG